AAAAAAGCUAUGAAGAGAAGAGUAAAUAUAAUGUUUAUUUCAAGAGAGCUCCGUAAGCUGAAAAGGAGUAAUAAAUAUUAUACUGAAGAAGGUCUCCAAGCUUCACACUGAGCCUCAGCUUUGAGGGGUAGGAUGUGCCGGGAGCUCCCGUUACAGAGCUAGAGUAUAAGUAGUAAUUAUUUGCCGUACUUAAAAAGGUCAUUAUGGUGACAUAAUGAUAAACUGGGGUGGUACCACGAAGCAUAUUCUCUCGUCCCCAAG
rnacentral:ncRNA from 1 species